UACGGAGGGGGCGAGCGUUAUUCGGAAUUAUUGGGCGUAAAGGGCGCGUAGGCGGCUUGAUGUGUCAAAGGUGAAAUCCCUCGGCUCAACUGAGGAACUGCCUUUGAAACUGUCUGGCUUGAGGCCGGGAGAGGGAUGCGGAAUUCCAGGUGUAGCGGUGAAAUGCGUAGAUAUCUGGAGGAACACCGGUGGCGAAGGCGGCAUCCUGGACCAUUACUGACACUGAAAAGCGAAAGCCAGGGGAGCAAACGGG
rnacentral:rRNA from 1 species